UACGUAGGGUGCAAGCGUUGUCCCGAAUUAUUGGGCGUAAAGAGCUCGUAGGCGGUUUGUUGCGUCGGCUGUGAAAUCCCGAGGCUCAACCUCGGGUCUGCAGUCGAUACGAGCAAACUAGAGUGUUGCAGGGGAGACUGGAAUUCCUGGUGUAGCGGUGAAAUGCGCAGAUAUCAGGAGGAACACCGGUGGCGAAGGCGGGUCUCUGGGCAACAACUGACGCUGAGGUGCGAAAGCGUGGGGAGCAAACAGG
rnacentral:rRNA from 1 species